rnacentral:rRNA from 1 species
AGUGAACGCUGGCGGCGUGCUUAACACAUGCAAGUCGAACGAGGAACGGAUUUAGCUUGCUAAAUUGCAGUCUAAGUGGCGCACGGGUGAGUAAUGUAUAGGUAAUAUGCCUCUUACUAAGGGAUAACAAUUGGAAACGAUUGCUAAUACCUUAUAUGCCUUUAAUACGAAAGUAUGAAAGGGAAAGAUUUAUUGGUAAGAGAUUAGCCUGUAUGGUAUCAGCUUGUUGGUGAGGUAAUGGCUCACCAAGGCUAUGACGCCUAACUGGUUUGAGAGGAUGAUCAGUCACACUGGAACUGAGACACGGUCCAGACUCCUACGGGAGGCAGCAGUGGGGAAUAUUGCACAAUGGACGAAAGUCUGAUGCAGCAACGCCGCGUGGAGGAUGACACAUUUCGGUGCGUAAACUCCUUUUAUAUAGGAAGAUAAUGACGGUACUAUAUGAAUAAGCACCGGCUAACUCCGUGCCAGCAGCCGCCGUAA